GAUGAACGCUGGCGGCGUGCCUAAUACAUGCAAGUCGAGCGAACAGACGAGGAGCUUGCUCCUCUGACGUUAGCGGCGGACGGGUGAGUAACACGUGGAUAACCUACCUAUAAGACUGGGAUAACUUCGGGAAACCGGAGCUAAUACCGGAUAAUAUAUUGAACCGCAUGGUUCAAUAGUGAAAGACGGGUUUGCUGUCACUUAUAGAUGGAUCCGCGCCGCAUUAGCUAGUUGGUAAGGUAACGGCUUACCAAGGCGACGAUGCGUAGCCGACCUGAGAGGGUGAUCGGCCACACUGGAACUGAGACACGGUCCAGACUCCUACGGGAGGCAGCAGUAGGGAAUCUUCCGCAAUGGGCGAAGGCCUGACGGAGCAACGCCGCGUGAGUGAUGAAGGUCUUCGGAUCGUAAAACUCUGUUAUUAGGGAAGAACAAAUGUGUAAGUAACUAUGCACGUCUUGACGGUACCUAAUCAGAAAGCCACGGCUAACUACGUG
rnacentral:rRNA from 1 species